rnacentral:rRNA from 1 species
GAGCGGCGAACGGGUGAGUAACACGUGAGUAACCUGCCCCUGACUNUGGGAUAAGCCCGGGAAACUGGGUCUAAUACCGGAUACGACACCUCCUGGCAUCGGGUGGGUGUGGAAAGUUUUUCGGUUGGGGAUGGACUCGCGGCCUAUCAGCUUGUUGGUGGGGUAACGGCCUACCAAGGCGACGACGGGUAGCCGGCCUGAGAGGGCGACCGGCCACACUGGGACUGAGACACGGCCCAGACUCCUACGGGAGGCAGCAGUGGGGAAUAUUGCGCAAUGGGCGAAAGCCUGACGCAGCGACGCCGCGUGGGGGAUGACGGCCUUCGGGUUGUAAACCUCUUUCAGCAGGGACGAAGUUGACGUGUACCUGCAGAAGAAGCGCCGGCUAACUACGUGCCAGCAGCCGCGGUAAUACGUAGGGCGCAAGCGUUGUCCGGAAUUAUUGGGCGUAAAGAGCUCGUAGGUGGCUUGUCACGUCGGGUGUGAAAGCUUGGGGCUUAACUCCAGGUCUGCAUUCGAUACGGGCUGGCUAGAGGUAGGUAGGGGAGAACGGAAUUCCU